UCUUUAUUUUACCAAAUAUUAUAAACUUUUUUAGUAAAUUAGCAAGAUAUAAUAAACAAAAUAUUUAUAUAUUCAAACAUGCACUUAAAUACUCACUGUUAUAUAUACGUGUAGAACUACUAUACUAUCGAAAGUAUAAAAGAGUUGAUGUUCAGACUUUUUGACUCUUGGAUUAAAAAUUGUAGAGUAGGAAUGAUAAUAGUCCCCCUUAGAGUUGAGUAAUC
rnacentral:lncRNA from 1 species